rnacentral:sRNA from 1 species
CUGUAUCGCUCGUACGCUCCGGCUGCGAGCGUGCCGUCCAUACCCACCUGGCGACCGCUCGCUACGUUUUGUCAGCC